rnacentral:rRNA from 1 species
GAGUUUGAUCAUGGCUCAGGACGAACGCUGGCGGCGUGCUUAAUACAUGCAAGUCGAACGGAGCUUAGCCAGUAGUUUACUACAGGCGAAAGCUUAGUGGCGGACGGGUGAGUAACGCGUGGGUAAUCUGCCCCUAAGUCUGGGAUAACAGAGCGAAAGUUCUGCUAACACCGGAUAUACUUUCUUUAUCGCAUGGUGAAGGAAGGAAAGGUUACGCUUAGGGAUGAGCCCGCGUCCCAUUAGCUAGUUGGUGAGGUAACAGCUCACCAAGGCGACGAUGGGUAGCCGGCCUGAGAGGGUGACGGCCACACUGGGACUGAGACACGGCCCAGACUCCUACGGGAGGCAGCAGUAGGGAAUUUUCCGCAAUGGGCGAAAGCCUGACGGAGCAACGCCGCGUGAGGGAAGAAGGUCUUCGGAUCGUAAACCUUUGUCAUCGAGGACGAUAAUGACGGUACUCGAGGAGGAAGCCCCGGCUAACUACGUGCCAGCAGCCGCGGUAACACGUAGGGGGCGAGCGUUGUCCGGAAUUACUGGGCGUAAAGAGCGUGUAGGCGGUUCGGUAAGUCUGCCGUGAAAACCCAGGGCUCAACCCUGGG